GACGAACGCUGGCGGCGUGCCUAAUACAUGCGAGUAGAACGCUGAAGGAGGAGCUUGCUCUUCUGGAUGAGUUGCGAACGGGUGAGUAACGCGUAGGUAACCUGCCUGGUAGCGGGGGAUAACUAUUGGAAACGAUAGCUAAUACCGCAUAAGAGUAGAUGUUGCAUGACAUUUGCUUAAAAGGUGCAAUUGCAUCACUACCAGAUGGACCUGCGUUGUAUUAGCUAGUUGGUGGGGUAACGGCUCACCAAGGCGACGAUACAUAGCCAACCUGAGAGGGUGAUCGGCCACACUGGGACUGAGACACGGCCCAGACUCCUACGGGAGGCAGCAGUAGGGAAUCUUCGGCAAUGGACGGAAGUCUGACCGAGCAACGCCGCGUGAGUGAAGAAGGUUUUCGGAUCGUAAAGCUCUGUUGUAAGAGAAGAACGAGUGUGAGAGUGGGAAGUUCACACUGUGACGGUAUCUUACCAGAAAGGGACGGCUAACUACGUG
rnacentral:rRNA from 1 species